AGUGAACGCUGGCGGUAGGCCUAACACAUGCAAGUCGAACGGCAGCACAGUAAGAGCUUGCUCUUACGGGUGGCGAGUGGCGGACGGGUGAGGAAUACAUCGGAAUCUACUUUUUCGUGGGGGAUAACGUAGGGAAACUUACGCUAAUACCGCAUACGACCUACGGGUGAAAGCAGGGGAUCUUCGGACCUUGCGCGAUUGAAUGAGCCGAUGUCGGAUUAGCUAGUUGGCGGGGUAAAGGCCCACCAAGGCGACGAUCCGUAGCUGGUCUGAGAGGAUGAUCAGCCACACUAGAACUGAGACACGGUCCCGACUCCUACGGGAGGCAGCAGUGGGGAAUAUUGGACAAUGGGCGCAAGCCUGAUCCAGCCAUACCGCGUGGGUGAAGAAGGCCUUCGGGUUGUAAAGCCCUUUUGUUGGGAAAGAAAAGCAGCAGGUUAAUACCCCGCUGUUCUGACGGUACCCAAAGAAUAAGCACCGGCUAACUUCGUG
rnacentral:rRNA from 1 species